rnacentral:rRNA from 1 species
UACGAAGGGGGCUAGCGUUGCUCGGAAUCACUGGGCGUAAAGCGCACGUAGGCGGACUCUUAAGUCAGGGGUGAAAUCCUGGAGCUCAACUCCAGAACUGCCUUUGAUACUGGGGAUCUCGAGUCCGGAAGAGGUUGGUGGAACUGCGAGUGUAGAGGUGAAAUUCGUAGAUAUUCGCAAGAACACCAGUGGCGAAGGCGGCCAACUGGUCCGGUACUGACGCUGAGGUGCGAAAGCGUGGGGAGCAAACAG